rnacentral:rRNA from 1 species
GGGGGACCAUCCUCCAAGGCUAAAUACUACUGACUGACCGAUAGUGAACCAGUACCGUGAGGGAAAGGCGAAAAGAACCCCGGAGAGGGGAGUGAAAUAGAACCUGAAACCGUAUGCGUACAAGCAGUGGGAGCCUACUUGUUAGGUGACUGCGUACCUUUUGUAUAAUGGGUCAGCGACUUAUAUUCAGUGGCAAGCUUAACCGUAUAGGGUAGGCGUAGCGAAAGCGAGUCUUAAUAGGGCGUUUAGUCGCUGGGUAUAGACCCGAAACCGGGCGAUCUAUCCAUGAGCAGGUUGAAGGUUAGGUAACACUGACUGGAGGACCGAACCCACUCCCGUUGAAAAGGUAGGGGAUGACUUGUGGAUCGGAGUGAAAGGCUAAUCAAGCUCGGAGAUAGCUGGUUCUCCUCGAAAGCUAUUUAGGUAGCGCCUCAUGUAUCACUCUGGGGGGUAGAGCACUGUUUCGGCUAGGGGGUCAUCCCGACUUACCAAACCGAUGCAAACUCCGAAUACCCAGAAGUGCCGAGCAUGGGAGACACACGGCGGGUGCUAACGUCCGUCGUGAAAAGGGAAACAACCCAGACCGCCAGCUAAGGUCCCAAAGUUGUGGUUAAGUGGUAAACGAUGUGGGAAGGCUUAGACAGCUAGGAGGUUGGCUUAGAAGCAGCCAUCCUUUAAAGAAAGCGUAAUAGCUCACUAGUCGAGUCGGCCUGCGCGGAAGAUGUAACGGGGCUCAAACCACACACCGAAGCUGCGGGUGUCACGUAAGUGACGCGGUAGAGGAGCGUUCUGUAAGCCUGUGAAGGUGAGUUGAGAAGCUUGCUGGAGGUAUCAGAAGUGCGAAUGCUGACAUGAGUAACGACAAUGGGUGUGAAAAACACCCACGCCGAAAGACCAAGGGUUCCUGCGCAACGUUAAUCGACGCAGGGUUAGUCGGUUCCUAAGGCGAGGCUGAAAAGCGUAGUCGAUGGGAAACAGGUUAAUAUUCCUGUACUUCUGGUUACUGCGAUGGAGGGACGGAGAAGGCUAGGCCAGCUUGGCGUUGGUUGUCCAAGUUUAAGGUGGUAGGCUGAAAUCUUAGGUAAAUCCGGGGUUUCAAGGCCGAGAGCUGAUGACGAGUCGUCUUUUAGAUGACGAAGUGGUUGAUGCCAUGCUUCCAAGAAAAGCUUCUAAGCUUCAGGUAACCAGGAACCGUACCCCAAACCGACACAGGUGGUCGGGUAGAGAAUACCAAGGCGCUUGAGAGAACUCGGGUGAAGGAACUAGGCAAAAUGGCACCGUAACUUCGGGAGAAGGUGCGCCGGCUAGGGUGAAGGAUUUACUCCGUAAGCUCUGGCUGGUCGAAGAUACCAGGCCGCUGCGACUGUUUAUUAAAAACACAGCACUCUGCAAACACGAAAGUGGACGUAUAGGGUGUGACGCCUGCCCGGUGCCGGAAGGUUAAUUGAUGGGGUUAGCGCAAGCGAAGCUCUUGAUCGAAGCCCCGGUAAACGGCGGCCGUAACUAUAACGGUCCUAAGGUAGCGAAAUUCCUUGUCGGGUAAGUUCCGACCUGCACGAAUGGCGUAACGAUGGCGGCGCUGUCUCCACCCGAGACUCAGUGAAAUUGAAAUCGCUGUGAAGAUGCAGUGUAUCCGCGGCUAGACGGAAAGACCCCGUGAACCUUUACUGUAGCUUUGCACUGGACUUUGAGCCUGCUUGUGUAGGAUAGGUGGGAGGCUUUGAAGCGUGGACGCCAGUUCGCGUGGAGCCAUCCUUGAAAUACCACCCUGGCAUGCUUGAGGUUCUAACUCUGGUCCGUGAUCCGGAUCGAGGACAGUGUAUGGUGGGCAGUUUGACUGGGGCGGUCUCCUCCUAAAGAGUAACGGAGGAGUACGAAGGUGCGCUCAGACCGGUCGGAAAUCGGUCGCAGAGUAUAAAGGCAAAAGCGCGCUUGACUGCGAGACAGACACGUCGAGCAGGUACGAAAGUAGGUCUUAGUGAUCCGGUGGUUCUGUAUGGAAGGGCCAUCGCUCAACGGAUAAAAGGUACUCCGGGGAUAACAGGCUGAUACCGCCCAAGAGUUCAUAUCGACGGCGGUGUUUGGCACCUCGAUGUCGGCUCAUCACAUCCUGGGGCUGAAGCCGGUCCCAAGGGUAUGGCUGUUCGCCAUUUAAAGUGGUACGCGAGCUGGGUUUAGAACGUCGUGAGACAGUUCGGUC